rnacentral:lncRNA from 1 species
CCUUCAAGUCACAGCCCGAGUAGGUAUCCUUUGCCCAAUGUGCUAAAUGGGACCAAACAAGUAAAAUAGCCAGAAUUUAUGUUGACAUUUGUACAGUCUUGCUAAAUUCCAAAAUGUUAGAAAGCAUGUUUUUUUCUUAGUUUCCCUUUUGUUUAGGCUUCAGUAUGUGUUUCCAUGACCCGUGGCAGGCGGUGGUGAAGCCUGGAGAUGCUUUUCCAUCUCAUGUUGGUGGAGAUGUAGCCAAACUCAUAAAGUAUCUACAAGGAGCAGCAAAGUUGGGGCUGUGGUGUUGCAGAGAGAACUGAAAGCCGGAUUUACUUGACAGCAAACAGGGAAACAGAGAGGUGAAGAAGCUGUAAAAAUCUAAGGAAGAGAGCCAAUGCUG